rnacentral:rRNA from 1 species
UCCGUAGGGUGCGAGCGUUAAUCGGAAUUACUGGGCGUAAAGCGUGCGCAGGCGGUUUUGUAAGCCAGAUGUGAAAGCCCCGGGCUUAACCUGGGAAUGGCAUUUGGGACUGCAAGGCUUGAGUGCGGCAGAGGAGACUGGAAUUCCUGGUGUAGCAGUGAAAUGCGUAGAUAUCAGGAGGAAGACCGAUGGCGAAGGCAGGUCUCUGGGCUGACACUGACGCUCAUGCACGAAAGCGUGGGGAGCAAACAGG